CAGGAUGAACGCUAGCUACAGGCUUAACACAUGCAAGUCGAGGGGCAUCAGGAAGAAAGCUUGCUUUCUUUGCUGGCGACCGGCGCACGGGUGAGUAACACGUAUCCAACCUGCCCUUUACUCGGGGAUAGCCUUUCGAAAGAAAGAUUAAUACCCGAUAGCAUAAUGAUUCCGCAUGGUUUCAUUAUUAAAGGAUUCCGGUAAAGGAUGGGGAUGCGUUCCAUUAGGUUGUUGGUGAGGUAACGGCCCACCAAGCCUUCGAUGGAUAGGGGUUCUGAGAGGAAGGUCCCCCACAUUGGAACUGAGACACGGUCCAAACUCCUACGGGAGGCAGCAGUGAGGAAUAUUGGUCAAUGGGCGCUAGCCUGAACCAGCCAAGUAGCGUGAAGGAUGAAGGCUCUAUGGGUCGUAAACUUCUUUUAUAUAAGAAUAAAGUGCAGUAUGUAUACUGUUUUGUAUGUAUUAUAUGAAUAAGGAUCGGCUAACUCCGUGCCAGCAGCCGCGGUAAUACGGAGGAUCCGAGCGUUAUCCGGAUUUAUUGGGUUUAAAGGGAGCGUAGGUGGACUGGUAAGUCAGUUGUGAAAGUUUGCGGCUCAACCGUAAAAUUGCAGUUGAUACUGUCAGUCUUGAGUACAGUAGAGGUGGGCGGAAUUCGUGGUGUAGCGGUGAAAUGCUUAGAUAUCACGAAGAACUCCGAUUGCGAAGGCAGCUCACUGGACUGCAACUGACACUGAUGCUCGAAAGUGUGGGUAUCAAACAGGAUUAGAUACCCUGGUAGUCCACACAGUAAACGAUGAAUACUCGCUGUUUGCGAUAUACAGUAAGCGGCCAAGCGAAAGCAUUAAGUAUUCCACCUGGGGAGUACGCCGGCAACGGUGAAACUCAAAGGAAUUGACGGGGGCCCGCACAAGCGGAGGAACAUGUGGUUUAAUUCGAUGAUACGCGAGGAACCUUACCCGGGCUUAAAUUGCAGUGGAAUGAUGUGGAAACAUGUCAGUGAGCAAUCACCGCUGUGAAGGUGCUGCAUGGUUGUCGUCAGCUCGUGCCGUGAGGUGUCGGCUUAAGUGCCAUAACGAGCGCAACCCUUAUCUUUAGUUACUAACAGGUUAUGCUGAGGACUCUAGAGAGACUGCCGUCGUAAGAUGUGAGGAAGGUGGGGAUGACGUCAAAUCGGCACGGCCCCUACGUCCGGGGCUACACACGAGUUACAAUGGGGGGUACAGAAGGCAGCUAGCGGGUGACCGUAUGCUAAUCCCAAAAUCCUCUCUCAGUUCGGAUCGAAGUCUGCAACCCGACUUCGUGAAGCUGGAUUCGCUAGUAAUCGCGCAUCAGCCACGGCGCGGUGAAUACGUUCCCGGGCCUUGUCCACACCGCCCGUCAAGCCAUGGGAGCCGGGGGUACCUGAAGUACGUAACCGCAAGGAUCGUCCUAGGGUAAAA
rnacentral:rRNA from 1 species